UACGGAGGGUGCUAGCGUUGUUCGGAAUUACUGGGCGUAAAGCGCACGUAGGCGGCUUUGUAAGUUAGAGGUGAAAGCCCAGGGCUCAACCCUGGAAUUGCCUUUAAGACUGCAUCGCUAGAAUUGUGGAGAGGUAAGUGGAAUUCCGAGUGUAGAGGUGAAAUUCGUAGAUAUUCGGAAGAACACCAGUGGCGAAGGCGACUUACUGGACACAUAUUGACGCUGAGGUGCGAAAGCGUGGGGAGCAAACAGG
rnacentral:rRNA from 1 species